GUUCUUGUGUGUGGAUGGUGUUCAGCACUAGGGACAUGUCUGUGUGUUCUUGUGUGUGGAUGGUGUUCAGCACCAGGGACGGGUCUGUGUGUUC
rfam:Branchiostoma floridae genomic scaffold BRAFLscaffold_187, whole genome shotgun sequence.